AACGAACGCUGGCGGCAUGCCUAACACAUGCAAGUCGAACGAGACCUUCGGGUCUAGUGGCGCACGGGUGCGUAACGCGUGGGAACCUGCCCUUAGGUUCGGAAUAACUCCCCGAAAGGGGUGCUAAUACCGGAUAAUGUCUUCGGACCAAAGAUUUAUCGCCUUUGGAUGGGCCCGCGUUGGAUUAGCUAGUUGGUAGGGUAAAAGCCUACCAAGGCGACGAUCCAUAGCUGGUCUGAGAGGAUGAUCAGCCACACUGGGACUGAGACACGGCCCAGACUCCUACGGGGGGCAGCAGUGGGGAAUAUUGGACACUGGGCGAAGGCCUGAUCCAGCAAUGCCGCGUGAGUGAGGAAGGCCUUAGGGUUGUAAAGCUCUUUUACCCGGGAUGAUAAUGACGGUACCGGGAGAAGAAGCUCCGGCUAACUCCGUG
rnacentral:rRNA from 1 species